AUUGAACGCUGGCGGCAGGCUUAACACAUGCAAGUCGAGCGAGCGGCGGACGGGUGAGUAAUGUCUGGGAAACUGCCCGAUGGAGGGGGCUAACUACUGGAAACGGUAGCUAAUACCGCAUACCAUCGGAUGUGCCCAGAUGGGAUUAGCUAGUAGGUGGGGUAAAGUCUCACCUAGGCGACGUUCCCUAGCUGGUCUGAGAGGAUGACCAGCCAAACUGGAACUGAGACACGGUCCAGACUCCUACGGGAGGCAGCAGUGGGGAAUAUUGAACAAUGGGCGCAAGCCUGAUGCAGCCAUGCCGCGUGUAUAAAGAAGGCCUUCGGGUUGUAAAGUACUUUCAGCGAGGAGGCGUUACUCGCAGAAGAAGCACCGGCUAACACCGUGCCAGCCGCCGCGGUAAUUC
rnacentral:rRNA from 1 species